rnacentral:lncRNA from 1 species
GUAAGUGGGGCUCCUCCUAAGGGUAACACAACCUUCCCCAAAGCACCACCUGCUGGAACAUCCCUUCGUCAGAAACUGGGUCUAUGGAAGGACAUCGUACAUUAAAGUGCGGGUCCUCUCCUUGUGGGGACUGUGGAGAAUACCACAGAGAGUAAGAGAGCCACGGAGGAUGUGGGGCUGCGCUGCUGCAGUUUGGGGCAGAAUUUCCCAGAUUCUUCAAAGAUGGCUACUGGAAUAUCGAAAAUGUUCUCUCACACACUCUCCACUGGCAGAGAUUCAGAGUGAACAGGCUUAUCCUGGUCAUGAAUCGGGUGAAACUAGGAACCUGCUUUCGGGGUCGGAUGUCCCUCACCAGGCUGACAGGCUUGGACUAGUGGCUUCUUUUUCACCUCUUUCUAAUCGCGGCACGCGGGGAGCUGCGCAUGUGCAGAGGUAGUGUACUGUCCGUGAAAACCUGGGUAGCUAGGAGAGGCCGUAUUAACUACGCAUCUUGUUUGCAAACACUGGGGCU